UAAAACGACUCUCGGCAACGGAUAUCUCGGCUCACGCAUCGAUGAAGAACGUAGCAAAAUGCGAUACUUGGUGUGAAUUGCAGAAUCCCGUGAACCAUCGAGUUUUUGAACGCAAGUUGCGCCCGAAGCCAUCCGGCCAAGGGCACGCCUGCCUGGGCGUCACGC
rnacentral:rRNA from 1 species